UCGGCGUGGAUUCAACCAUUUCGAACGACAACUUUGAGCAUCGGUUGACCGAGUAGGUACAGAAAUACCUUCGCAACUACUGCCUUAUAUAAAGACCAACAUGUAAAUGCAAAUUCUUGUAGGGAGAUUGAGGAGACACUGGGAUCCGAACAAACCACUUGUUGGAAAAAGUGGGGUAGGUUUCACAACAAGUUUUUCAAGGCAAAGAAAGGAAACAAGGGCAGCAGUGGAGAUGCCGGUGGAAAGGCUACUUCAGGAAUGUUACUGCUGGCUUUUUUUUGGCAUGUGGAGCAUGGGAAGACUGAAAGCUACAUGCCGUCUUCACCAAAAGAUGAGGCACAAACACCAGUGAAUGGAGACAGCACCUGGUUUUGUUCUCUGCGCCCCAGCACUGCCUAUUACUAGCCCAAGCACUACAUCUGCCCUCGGUAUUGACUGGUCAUCGGCCCCAGCCCAUCUCACGCACUGAGCUGCAGUGCAGAAUUAGAAACAAUCUCCAUGCAGGACCUGGGAAGCUCUAUCCUGGGCUCACCUCCAAGACCUACUCUACUGGCUUGCUCCUCACCAGUGCCACAGAACAGCAGCAGAAGUAGCAUUGGUGUGAGAAGGGAGAAAGGACCUGCAGACUCAGCACUUAACACAUCACUCGCAAAGGCAUUGCAAAUGAUUGAAGACUUAUCCCAGAGGGCCCUGGCACCUAUAGCUGAUUUCAUGGGAGAACUCUCGCCAAAACUCUGGCAGGAAUUAGAUCACCAGCUGCAUGAGUUUGUGUAUGACUUCAAGAAGAGGACAUGGAACCAAACAACUUGGAACACAGUGAAAUUCACUUGUUCUGUUGUUGUUCUGACAUCUCUGGAGCCAGACACCAGAUUUUUAUCUUAUUCCAUAGACACUUUUGUUGUUCACACGUCUGUUCAUAGCAGACACUGAUCGGGAAUUUUUGUAACUACACAGACUUCAAUUUUAUUCCAUAGACACUUGUUUACUUGUCUGGUCUCGCACACUUUUGUAUUGUGGUUUACUUUCAGAGCCCAUAAGCAAGAAAAAAGGUUUAUAUUUGUGUGCUGAAAAAGCUCUGUUGGCAUUUCUUCAUCUCAAUACAAGGUGUUUCAAUGCAUUCUAUUUGAACAUGAAUUGAAUCUAAAUUACUGCUCACUGAGACGUCAUAGAAUCAGGUUUCAUUUUAUUAACAAGAUUAAAACUCUAAAUUUUAAGCCAAAGUACUUUGGUUCACAGUGCACACAAAGAACUGGGUCUGUGUGUCCAUCAAGGGGUGUGUGAGCAGUUCAAACAAAGGCCUUUUCUGCAUGACUGCUUGGCCUUGGGUUGAGUUGUCCUCUCCUAACCACGUCUUCCUGCCAUGGCACACGUCCGGGGGGGGGGGAUCCUUCAACUUGUUUAACUUGCAAAAAAUGUCGCCCUGGAAUUUGGAGAAUGCCCUUAGCCUUUUCAGGGCUACACUCGAUUGGACGACCAAGAAUCCUAAUCCUUGCAGCCAUGAUACCAAAUGCAUUCUCUGACUCUGACAACGAGAGUGGUAGUAGUUCCAGGUACGCCCAAGUUAAUUGAAAUGGACACCUGUGAAUGAGAGGUAACGAGAAUAUACAGUACCAGUCAAAGGUUUAGCCACACCUACUCAUUCAAGUGUUUUUCUUAAUU